GAUGAACGCUAGCGGCAGGCCUAAUACAUGCAAGUCGAACGGUAACAGGUCCAGCAAUGGAUGCUGACGAGUGGCGCACGGGUGCGUAACGCGUAUGCAAUCUACCUUUAACUGGUGAAUAGCCCGAAGAAAUUCGGAUUAACACACCAUAGUAUAUUAGAGUAGCAUUACUCAAAUAUUAAAACUCCGGUGGUUAAAGAUGAGCAUGCGUGACAUUAGCUAGUUGGUGAGGUAAUGGCUCACCAAGGCAACGAUGUCUAGGGGAUCUGAGAGGAUUAACCCCCACACUGGUACUGAGACACGGACCAGACUCCUACGGGAGGCAGCAGUAAGGAAUAUUGGACAAUGGUCGCAAGACUGAUCCAGCCAUGCCGCGUGAAGGAUGACGGCCCUAUGGGUUGUAAACUUCUUUUGUAUGGGAAAAAACCUCUCUACGUGUAGAGAGCUGAUGGUACCAUAAGAAUAAGGAUCGGCUAACUCCGUGCCAGCAGCCGCCGUAAAAC
rnacentral:rRNA from 1 species